AUGAUAAUAUUCAAUGUGACUAAGACUUUAGAAAGCCAAUUAACUGUUUUCUACAUUGGUUUAUAUAUAUUCUCUGGAGGUCAAUUGAAAAAGCAAUUUCAAAAUUUUAAAAUAUCAAUUUUCUUUGAAGAAAAGCUGCAAUUCGCUUUUCGAUCCGCCAUCUGCGGUGGAGCCGCCACCAAAACUCAGAUUUUCAUGAAAACCCUUACGGGGAAGACCAUCACCCUCGAGGCUGAACCCUCGGAUACGAUAUAAAAUGUAAAGGCCGAGAUCCAGGAUAAGGAAGGAAUUCCUCCUGAUCAGCAAAGACUGAUCUUUGCUGGCAAGCAACUGGAAGAUGGACGUACUUUGUCUGACUACAAUAUUCAAAAGGAGUCUACUCUUCAUCUCGUGUUGAGACUUCGUGGUGGUGCUAAGAAAAGGAAGAAGAAGUCUUACACCACUCCCAAGAAGAAUAAGCACAAGAGAAAGAAGGUUAAGCUGGCUGUCCUGAAAUAUUAUAAGGUGGAUGAAAAUGGCAAAAUUAGUCGCCUUCAUCGAGAGUGCCCGUCUGAUGAAUGUGGUGCUGGGGUGUUUAUGGCAAGCCACUUUGACAGACAUUAUUGUGGCAAAUUUUGUCUGACUUAUUGCUUCAACAAGCCAGAAGACAAGUAACUGUAUGAGUUAAUAAAAUACAUGAACUAACAAAAA